AUUGAACGCUGGCGGCAUGCCUUACACAUGCAAGUCGAACGGCAGCACGGGAGCAAUCCUGGUGGCGAGUGGCGAACGGGUGAGUAAUAUAUCGGAACGUGCCCAGUCGUGGGGAUAACGUAGCGAAAGCUACGCUAAUACCGCAUACGAUCUAUGGAUGAAAGCGGGGGAUCGCAAGACCUCGCGCGAUUGGAGCGGCUGAUAUCAGAUUAGGUAGUUGGUGAGGUAAAGGCUCACCAAGCCGACGAUCUGUAGCUGGUCUGAGAGGACGACCAGCCACACUGGGACUGAGACACGGCCCAGACUCCUACGGGAGGCAGCAGUGGGGAAUUUUGGACAAUGGGCGCAAGCCUGAUCCAGCAAUGCCGCGUGCAGGAUGAAGGCC
rnacentral:rRNA from 1 species